rnacentral:rRNA from 1 species
GAUGAACGCUGGCGGCGUGCCUAAUACAUGCAAGUCGAGCGAACGGACGAGAAGCGUGCUUCGCUGAUGUUAGCGGCGGACGGGUGAGUAACACGUGGAUAACCUACCUAUAAGACUGGGAUAAGUUCGGGAAACCGGAGAUAAUACCGGAUGAGAGUGUGAACCGCAGGGUUCAAAAGAGAAAGACGGUCUUGAUGUCACUUAGAGAGGGAUCCGCGCUGCAUUAGCUAGUUGGUAAGGUAACGGCUUACCAAGGCAACGAUGCAUAGCCGACCUGAGAGGGUGAUCGGCCACACUGGAACUGAGACACGGUCCAGACUCCUACGGGAGGCAGCAGUAGGGAAUCUUCCGCAAUGGGCGAAAGCCUGACGGAGCCACGCCGCGUGAGUGAUGAAGGUCUUCGGAUCGUAAAACUCUUUUAUUAGGGAAGAACAUAUGUGUAAGUAACUGUGCACAUCUUGACGGUACCUACUCAGAAAGCCACGGCUAACUACGUG